ACUCCUACGGGAGGCAGCAGUGGGGAAUAUUGCACAAUGGGGGAAACCCUGAUGCAGCCAUGCCGCGUGUGUGAAGAAGGCCUUCGGGUUGUAAAGCACUUUUCAGUAGGGAGGAAGGUAGUGUAGUUAACACCUGCACUAUUUUGACGUUACCCUACAGAAGAAGCACCCGGCUAACUCCGUGCCAGCAGCCGCGGUAAUACGGAGGGUGCGAGCGUUAAUCGGAAUUACUGGGCGUAAAGCGCAUGCAGGCGGCCUGUUAAGUCAGAUGUGAAAGCCCGGGGCUUAACCUCGGAAUUGCAUUUGAAACUGGCAGGCUAGAG
rnacentral:rRNA from 1 species